GGUCCUUGAGAGCCCUGAUGUUGAUCAGCUGAAGGAAUUGGCUGCUUCUGCCAAUCAUAAUACUGCUAGAUGCCGCUCUACUUCUGGUGAUAAGAGAGAAAGGAAAAGGCACGGGCAGCAGCAGCAGCAGCAGCAGUGGGGAAAAAUGACUUUAGCUUUACACAAAGCCUAGCAAGGAGAGAAGAAGCAAGCAGCUGGUGUGGGUGAGAUUAAAUAGUUCUCACUGCAUUUCUGCCGGUCUCUUAGUGCUCCCUGGUGUUAUUCUGGUGUCCAAGCUAGAAAGUGCAUUAUAACCAUGCACUAAACGUGUGAAUCAUUCCAGCUGGCUGAAUGUUUAAGAAAUUCAGGCUGAGUGUGUGCGAGAGAACGUAACAGAAAGGGCUUGGCUGUGAGAGAGUUCAGCAGCUUUGCCUACUGAUGCUGAGAACUGAUAGGUAGCACUAAUUCUCUGAAAUCCGGGACAACAGAGCUCUGCUUCAGAGAACCUACCCUGCAGUCAAGUCAAGCAAGAACCAUCCAGGUAAUGUCAAACUAUUUCGUUGAUCGUAGAAAUCCUUUGGAUGGAAGAAAAAUCUGUUUCACUUAUCAGAACACACCUAAAUAUCUGACUGAACUUGCCUUGUAAGUUUUACAAUACAUGAAGUGCAAUGGUCACAUAGGCUUCUGCGAGGAGUGCAAGGCCACUUCUGUGCUCUGUUCACAAAGCCUCAUUAUGAAAAAAUAGAGAUUUACAACAUACGUGCUGAAAAAUGAAUCUUUUUAUAAAGCUAAGAAGAAGUUUCCGAACACUUGCAUUACUCUUAGUCACGUUCUGCCUGGCAAGUAUUGUCAUUUCAGCCUAUUAUUUGUUCUCUAGUCACAAGCAGGGAAUCAUCCUUGUUGAGACAACUGCGCAAACUGAAUGUGGUGAUGGAAAUGUAUUGCCUUACAGAACAAUCGAGAUCAAGACGGCUAAACCUAUUGAUUCUUCAAAAAAAGAUCUUACCAUUUUACUUUUUGUAGAAAGCCAGUAUUCUCAGCUUGGACUGGACAUUGUAGCAAUUCUUGAGUCCAGCAGGUUUCCAUAUCAUAUAUUGAUUGCACCAGGAAAGGGAGAUAUACCUCCUCUUACAAAGGAUGGUAAAGGCAAAUAUGCAAUUAUUAUAUAUGAAAAUGUUUUAAAGUAUGCAUCAAUGGACUCCUGGAACCGAGAGCUUUUGGAAAAAUACUGCAUUGAGUACAGUGUCAGCAUUAUUGGGUUUCACAAGGCUAAUGAAAACAGUUUGCUGGUUACUGAACUAAAAGGAUUUCCUUUAAUUCUUUACAAUAAUGUUGCUCUAAUGGACUGUUUUGUAAAUCCAAAUUCUCCCCUACUUCACAUAACAAAAGCUUCAGUAACUGAAAAAGGACCACUGCCUGGAGAAGACUGGACAGUUUUUCAGUACAACCACUCCACUUAUGAACCUGUUAUAUUAUCUUCAUUACAGUUACAGGGAACAAAUUCACAAUUACUAUCUGGAUCUUCCCAAUAUGCCACAGUCAUUCAGGAUUUAGGUCUUCAUGAUGGAAUUCAGAGAGUUCUGUUUGGCAACAACUUGAAUUUUUGGCUGCACAAGUUAAUUUUUAUUGAUGCUAUCUCUUUUUUGUCUGGGAAAAAGCUAAGUCUGUCUUUAAACAGAUACAUUCUUGUUGACAUAGAUGACAUAUUUGUGGGUAAAGAGGGCACUCGGAUGAAUAUAAAUGAUGUAAAGGCCUUGUUAGAGACACAAAAUUUGUUGCGCACUCAGGUUUUAAAUUUCACCUUCAACCUUGGGUUUUCAGGGAAGUUCUAUCAUACUGGCACCAUAGAAGAGGAUGAAGGAGAUGACCUUUUACUGCAAUCAGUGGAUGAAUUCUGGUGGUUUCCUCAUAUGUGGAGUCAUAUGCAGCCUCAUCUCUUUCAUAAUGAGUCCUCACUUGUGGAACAAAUGAUCCUAAAUAAGGAGUUUGCACAGGAGCAUGGUAUUCCAACUAACAUGGGUUAUGCUGUGGCUCCACAUCACUCAGGUGUCUACCCUGUACACAUGCAGCUUUAUGAAGCCUGGAAAAAAGUUUGGACUAUUCAGGUCACAAGCACAGAAGAGUAUCCUCACUUGAAGCCUGCACGCUACAGACAGGGCUUUAUACACAAUGGUAUAAUGGUCUUGCCUAGACAAACCUGUGGUUUGUUUACACACACAAUUUUUUACAAAGAAUAUCCUGGUGGCCCCAGUGAACUAGACAAAAGCAUCAGCGGAGGAGAACUUUUUCUGACAGUACUUCUAAAUCCUAUCAGCAUCUUCAUGACACAUUUGUCUAAUUAUGGGAAUGACCGCCUUGGCUUGUACACUUUUGUCAACCUUGUCAAUUUUGUACAAACUUGGACCAAUCUGAAACUGCAGACUCUUCCUCCGCUUCAGCUGGCUCAUAAAUAUUUUGACCUCUUCCCAGAACAAAGAGAUCCAUUAUGGCAGAACCCAUGUGAUGACAGAAGACACAGAGACAUUUGGUCUCGAGAUAAAACAUGUGAACGGCUACCAAAAUUUCUGGUAAUUGGACCUCAAAAGACUGGCACAACGGCACUUUAUCUCUUUCUACUAAUGCAUCCUAAUAUUAUAAGCAAUUUUCCUAAUCCAAAGACCUUUGAGGAAGUGCAGUUCUUCGGUGGAAACAACUAUCACAAGGGAAUCGACUGGUACAUGGAUUCUUUUCCUUAUCCAUCAAACACAACAUCAGACUUCCUGUUUGAGAAGAGUGCAAAUUACUUCCAUUCAGAGGAAGUUCCCAAGAGGGCUGCAGCACUGCUUCCAAAAGCUAAGCUUAUCACCAUUUUGAUUGAUCCAUCUGAUCGGGCAUAUUCCUGGUACCAGCAUCAGAGAUCUCACGAAGAUCCAGCUACAUUAAAAUUUAGCUUCUAUGAAGUGAUUAGUGCUGAUCAGAAUGUACCCUUAGAGCUCCAAAUGCUGCAAAGAAGAUGUCUUGUGCCUGGCUGGUAUGCGUCUCACAUAGAGAGAUGGCUAGCCUAUUUUUCACCUUCACAGCUGCUUAUAAUUGAUGGGCAACAUCUGAGAAGUGAGCCUGCUUCUGUAAUGGACGAGGUCCAGAAGUUCUUAGGUGUUUUUUCUCAUUAUAAUUAUUCAGAGACCUUAACAUUUGAUUCACAGAAAGGCUUCUGGUGUCAACUGUUAGAAGAAGGGAAAACAAAAUGUCUUGGGAGAAAUAAAGGUCGCAAAUAUCCAGCUAUGGAUUUAGAGUCAAGAGAUUUUCUUUCAACUUACUACCAACACCACAAUAUUGAAUUGUCCAAAGUUCUGCACAGAUUGGGACAACCAUUACCUUCAUGGCUCCGACAAGAACUACAGAAAGUGAGAUAACACUGGAAACAUGGAUUUUGAAAAUCUGCGGUUUCUACUAUUCAAAUUUUUUUAAAAAAUCACCUUGGGACACCUAUGAUUAUAACGACCCUCUGUGUAACUCAAAAUGUCAAGAAAGUUUAUAAAGUAUAUGCACGUGAUGGCAGAUAUUAGCCUCAUUAUGUCAGAUCUCAGCACCACAGUUGACAUAUCCUAUUUUAUAAAAGGAUACAUUCUAAAUGUAUCUUGGGACAACUGCUUCCUGCAUUUCCUUUAAUAAAGAGAGUUAUUUCUAUUGAAAAUUUCCAUUUACUCCAACAUAAGAUACUGUCUUAGAAAAUCAAAGGAAUGAAAACUGGAAUAGUGGGCACUGAUUGCCAAGUGAUCUGCUUAAGGAAGAUGUCAACAUGUGGGCUUAACUAAUAUUUGAACUUCUUCACAAGAGGAUUUCUUUACAGAAAAAUAAGAAAUGAGCUUUCCAUCCAUAUCAAAACCUAAUUUGUUCUGGAUAUAUACAUAUGUUCUUGUCUCAAUUCAAUCUCAGUUCAAUAUGAAAAUAAUCAGAAUUGCAAAACUUGUGGACUGAAUUAUGUUUAUUUUUAUCACACCAGUUUAAAAUACAUAUAUUGCAAGAUUGUCAACUAUAUAAAGUAACAGAUAAACUAUUUUUAUUUGAAGUAAAAUGUCUUUUUCCUUCACACCUUUGUUAUGUUGUAUAUGGUAUAUUAAGUAUUUCAGUGUUCUAACUUCAAACUUCAAAAAAAAAAUGGACUGGUAUGAAAUUGUUAUAAUCUGAUUCUCUCUGUAUUGAAGGGGAUCUACAUUUUAAAUACAAUCUAAUUUGACUUUAACUUGA